AAGCAUAUCAAUAAGCUGAGGAAAAGAAACUAACUAGGAUUCCCUUAGUAACGGCGAGUGAACCGGGAAAAGCUCAAAUUUGUAAUCUGGCUGUCUUCGAUAGUCCGAGUUGUAAUCUAUAGACGUGUUUUCCGUGCUGGACCGUAUCUAAGUCCCUUGGAACAGGGUAUCAAAGAGGGUGACAAUCCCGUGCUUGAUACGACCACCAGUGCUCUGUGAUACACGCUCUACGAGUCGAGUUGUUUGGGAAUGCAGCUCAAAAUGGGUGGUAAAUUCCAUCUAAAGCUAAAUAUUGGCGAGAGACCGAUAGCGAACAAGUACCGUGAGGGAAAGAUGAAAAGCACUUUGGAAAGAGAGUUAAACAGUACGUGAAAUUGUUGAAAGGGAAACGAUUGAAGUCAGUCGUGUUCUUUGGAUUCAGCUAGUUCUUCUAGUCUACUUCCAUUGAACGGGUCAACAUCAGUUUUGUCCGGUGGAUAAAGAUAGUAGGAAUGUAGCUCCCCCGGGAGUGUUAUAGACUAUUAUUGCAUACACUGGGUGAGACUGAGGACUGCAGCUCGCCUCUUGGCCGGUCUUCGGACACGUUCGAGCUUAGGAUGUUGACAUAAUGGCUUUAAACGACCCGU
rnacentral:rRNA from 1 species